UACAGAGAGUGCAAGCGUUAAUCGGAAUUACUGGGCGUAAAGCGCGCGUAGGUGGAUAUUUAAGUCGGAUGUGAAAUCCCUGGGCUUAACCUGGGAAUUGCAUCCGAUACUGAAUGUAUAGAGUAUGGUAGAGGGAAGUGGAAUUUCCGGUGUAGCGGUGAAAUGCGUAGAUAUCGGAAAGAACACCAGUGGCGAAGGCGGCUUCCUGGACCAAUACUGACACUGAGGCGCGAAAGCGUGGGGAGCAAACAGG
rnacentral:rRNA from 1 species